rnacentral:tRNA from 1 species
AAAAUUUAGUUAAUUUAUAACAUCAACUUGUCAAGUUGAAAUUAUCUUCUAGAUAAUUUUUU